AUUUUUCUCUUUUCUGUGAAUAGAAUUCUCUCAUUUUCCAGAGAGUUCCUAAAAGCUCUGCCUUCUCUCUACUUUCUCUCUCUAGAUUUUCUAUGAUUUCUCGGUCUAAUAUAAAUGUUUACAUGGUAUCAGAGCCUCGACGACGAUCCGACUAUGUUUCUAUGUGCUUCAUUGUCUUGGAUGAAGUUUUUUUCGAGGUUUUGGGG
rnacentral:lncRNA from 1 species